GAUGAACGCUGGCGGCGUGCCUAAUACAUGCAAGUCGAGCGAACAGACGAGGAGCUUGCUCCUCUGACGUUAGCGGCGGACGGGCGAGUAACACGAGGAUAACCUACCUAUAAGACUGGGAUAACUUCGGGAAACCGGAGCUAAUACCGGAUAAUAUAUUGAACCGCAUGGUUCAAUAGAGAAAGACGGUUUUGCUGUCACUUAUAGAUGGAUCCGCGCCGCAUUAGCUAGUUGGUAAGGUAACGGCUUACCAAGGCAACGAUGCGUAGCCGACCUGAGAGGGUGAUCAGCCACACUGGAACUGAGACGCGGUCCAGACUCCUACGGGAGGCAGCAGUAGGGAAUCUUCCGCAAUGGGCGAAAGCCUGACGGAGCAACGCCGCGUGAGUGAUGAAGGUCUUCGGAUCGUAAAACUCUGUUAUUAGGGAAGAACAAAUGUGUAAGUAACUAUGCACGUCUUGACGGUACCUAAUCAGAAAGCCACGGCUAACUACGUG
rnacentral:rRNA from 1 species